UACCUGCAGCUCGAGUGGUGACCGCUAUUAUUGGGCCUAAAACGUCCGUAGCCGGCUGAGUAAAUGCCUGGGUAAAUCGUGCCGCUUAACGGUACGAAUUCCGGGUAGACUGCUUAGCUUGAGACUGGGAGAAGCUAGAGGUACUCCUGGGGUAGAGGUGAAAUUCUGUAAUCCUGGGGGGACCACCAGUGGCGAAAGCGUCUAGCUAGAACGGGUCUGACGGUGAGGGACGAAACCCUGGGGCGCGAACCGGAUUAGAUACCCGGGUAGUCCAGGGCGCAAACGCUGCUUGCUUGAUGUUAGCUGGGCUCCGAGCUCAGCUAGUGUCGGAGAGAGGUUGUUAAGCAAGCUGCCUGGGAAGUACGAUCGCAAGAUUGAAACUUAAAGGAAUUGGCGGGGGAGCACAGCAACGGGUGGAGCGUGCGGUUU
rnacentral:rRNA from 1 species